rnacentral:misc_RNA from 1 species
CCAGUGGGAGAUAUCUAUCCCAACUCCCCUCAAACUCAAUGACACAACUCUUUAGCAUAUCCUCAAGGACCUGACGUAUAUUUCAUGUUAUUAUUAUCAUUUCAGUUCAAUAUUUGUAUUAAUUCAAUUGGUUUUAAUGUUUACUGGAUUACUCUUUCUGACUGUCCAUCCGUAUGAGGACGGAAAACUGUGCUAAAGUGGAGUUGUGUACUCAAGGAUUCGUGCAACUUCUUUCAAAAUCUCGAUGUAAACCUUAGG